AUUAUUUUUUGUUUUUUCAUUUAUGCUCAAACUACUUUUGCUUUGUCUAGGGUACAUGAACUACUUUGUUGAUUGAUCUAUAACAAUACCAUUGAUACUAGAUUACCUUGUUCAUCAGUUGUUUCACCCCUGCAUCAUCUCAACACGAAAAGGCUAUACGAGUUGGACCCGGCAACAUCGGAAGGCGUAGCUCCUCCUUGUACUCUGUUAUUUUCUACAUCAUGUACUCUGCUUGUAAGUAGAUGCGUUGGUCUCAUUGUGUUGUACCUUUCUCAAUAUAACUAGCAUGGUGGCGGCGGAAGUACUUCGUAUUUA